UAUUUGUCUAAAGUUACAGAUUUGAAACAUUCAGCAGCACGUGACCCCCUGCCAAGAAAUAAUACAACAUGGAAUGAAAAAGAUGGCAACAAUUUACCUGCCUGGGGGAUUGCUUUAAUCGUAAUCCUGGUUGCUGGAGCUGUUUCUGCCUUUAUUUUUUUCAUUGGAAAAAGGGCAAAAUGCUUUGGUAAACCAAUAUCUGUACUUUAGUGGCGAUGAUUUGUGCCUUCAAGCAAAUCACCUCAGGUUGCUCCAGAGGGACUGUGCCUGGAAAACAGUACAUGUUAUACUGUAUAAGCCACUUUGGUAAAAAA